rnacentral:rRNA from 1 species
UACGUAGGGGGCAAGCGUUAUCCGGAUUUACUGGGUGUAAAGGGAGCGUAGACGGCGAGGCAAGUCUGGAGUGAAAGCCCGGGGCUCAACCCCGGGACUGCUUUGGAAACUGCCUGGCUGGAGUGCUGGAGAGGUAAGUGGAAUUCCUAGUGUAGCGGUGAAAUGCGUAGAUAUCAGGAGGAACACCGGUGGCGAAGGCGGCUUACUGGACAGUGACUGACGUUGAGGCUCGAAAGCGUGGGUAUCGAACAGG